rnacentral:rRNA from 1 species
AUUGAACGCUGGCGGCAUGGCUAAAACAUGCAAGUCGAACGAGAAUCCGCCGCAAGGCGGAGGACAGUGGCGGAAGGGUCAGUAAUGGGAUCGAAUGUACCCCGAGGUGGAGGAUAGCGUCGGGAAACUGACGGUAAUACUCCAUGUCCUCUACGGAGAAAAGAUUUAUCGCCUUGGGAGCAGCGAUCCUCCUAUCAGGUAGUUGGCGGGGUAAAAGCCCACCAAGCCGAAGACGGGUAGCGGGUGUGAGAGCACGGCCCGCGACAUCGAGACUGAGACACUGCUCGGACUCCUACGGGAGGCUGCAGUAACGAAUAUUCCGCAAUGCGCGAAAGCGUGACGGAGCAAUGCCGCGUGCAGGAUGAAGCGGUUUUGCCGUGUAAACUGCUGUCAGGGAUACGAAACACU